rnacentral:rRNA from 1 species
GAGGCAGCAGUGGGGAAUAUUGGACAAUGGGCGAAAGCCUGAUCCAGCAAUACCGCGUGUGUGAAGAAGGCCUUCGGGUUGUAAAGCACUUUAAGUUGGGAAGAAAAAACUUCAAUUAAUACUUGAAGUCUUGACGGUACCGACAGAAUAAGCACCGGCUAACUCUGUGCCAGCAGCCGCGGUAAUACAGAGGGUGCUAGCGUUAAUCGGAUUUACUGGGCGUAAAGCGUGCGUAGGCGGCUUUUUAAGUCGGUGUGAAAUCCCUGAGCUUAACUUAGGAAUUGCAUUCGAUACUGGGAAGCUAGAGUAUGGGAGAGGAUGGUAGAAUUCCAGGUGUAGCGGUGAAAUGCGUAGAGAUCUGGAGGAAUACCGAUGGCGAAGGCAGCCAUCUGGCCUAAUACUGACGCUGAGGUACGAAAGCGUGGGGAGCAAACAGGAUUAGAUACCCUGGUAGUCCAUGCCGUAAACGAUGUCUACUAGCCGUUGGGGCCUUUGAGGCUUUAGUGGCGCAGCUAACGCGAUAAGUAGACCGCCUGGGGAGUACGGCCGCAAGGUUAAAACUCAAAUGAAUUGACGGGGGCCCGCACAAGCGGUGG